rnacentral:rRNA from 1 species
GGACGAACGCUGGCGGCGUGCUUAACACAUGCAAGUCGAGCGGUAAGGCCCUUUCGGGGGUACGACGAGCGGCGAACGGGUGAGUAACACGUGGGUGACCUGCCCUUAGCUCUGGGAUAAGCCUGGGAAACUGGGUCUAAUACCGGAUAUGACUCCAUGACGCAUGUUGUGGGGUGGAAAGCCUUGUGCGGCUGAGGAUGGGCCCGCGCCUAUCAGCUUGUUGGUGGGGUGAUGGCCACCAAGGCGACGACGGGUAGCCGGCCUGAGAGGGCGACCGGCCACACUGGGGACUGAGAUACGGCCCACGACUCCUACGGGAGGGCAGCAGUGGGGAAUCUUGCGCAAUGGGCGAAAGCCUGACGCAGCGACGCCGCGUGAGGGAUGACGG